rnacentral:rRNA from 1 species
GGGUUGUGAGGUUAAGCGACUAAGCGUACACGGUGGAUGCCCUGGCAGUCAGAGGCGAUGAAGGACGUGCUAAUCUGCGAUAAGCGUCGGUGAGGUGAUAUGAACCGUUAUAACCGGCGAUUUCCGAAUGGGGAAACCCAGUGUGUUUCGACACACUAUCAUUAACUGAAUCCAUAGGUUAAUGAGGCGAACCGGGGGAACUGAAACAUCUAAGUACCCCGAGGAAAAGAAAUCAACCGAGAUUCCCCCAGUAGCGGCGAGCGAACGGGGAGGAGCCCAGAGCCUGAAUCAGUGUGUGUGUUAGUGGAAGCGUCUGGAAAGGCGCGCGAUACAGGGUGACAGCCCCGUACACAAAAAUGCACAUAUUGUGAGCUCGAUGAGUAGGGCGGGACACGUGGUAUCCUGUCUGAAUAUGGGGGGACCAUCCUCCAAGGCUAAAUACUCCUGACUGACCGAUAGUGAACCAGUACCGUGAGGGAAAGGCGAAAAGAACCCCGGCGAGGGGAGUGAAAAAGAACCUGAAACCGUGUACGUACAAGCAGUGGGAGCCUCUUAAUGGGGUGACUGCGUACCUUUUGUAUAAUGGGUCAGCGACUUAUAUUCUGUAGCAAGGUUAACCGAAUAGGGGAGCCGGAGGGAAACCGAGUCUUAACUGGGCGUUAAGUUGCAGGGUAUAGACCCGAAACCCGGUGAUCUAGCCAUGGGCAGGUUGAAGGUUGGGUAACACUAACUGGAGGACCGAACCGACUAAUGUUGAAAAAUUAGCGGAUGACUUGUGGCUGGGGGUGAAAGGCCAAUCAAACCGGGAGAUAGCUGGUUCUCCCCGAAAGCUAUUUAGGUAGCGCCUCGUGAAUUCAUCUCCGGGGGUAGAGCACUGUUUCGGCAAGGGGGUCAUCCCGACUUACCAACCCGAUGCAAACUGCGAAUACCGGAGAAUGUUAUCACGGGAGACACACGGCGGGUGCUAACGUCCGUCGUGAAGAGGGAAACAACCCAGACCGCCAGCUAAGGUCCCAAAGUCAUGGUUAAGUGGGAAACGAUGUGGGAAGGCCCAGACAGCCAGGAUGUUGGCUUAGAAGCAGCCAUCAUUUAAAGAAAGCGUAAUAGCUCACUGGUCGAGUCGGCCUGCGCGGAAGAUGUAACGGGGCUAAACCAUGCACCGAAGCUGCGGCAGCGACGCUUAUGCGUUGUUGGGUAGGGGAGCGUUCUGUAAGCCUGCGAAGGUGUGCUGUGAGGCAUGCUGGAGGUAUCAGAAGUGCGAAUGCUGACAUAAGUAACGAUAAAGCGGGUGAAAAGCCCGCUCGCCGGAAGACCAAGGGUUCCUGUCCAACGUUAAUCGGGGCAGGGUGAGUCGACCCCUAAGGCGAGGCCGAAAGGCGUAGUCGAUGGGAAACAGGUUAAUAUUCCUGUACUUGGUGUUACUGCGAAGGGGGGACGGAGAAGGCUAUGUUGGCCGGGCGACGGUUGUCCCGGUUUAAGCGUGUAGGCUGGUUUUCCAGGCAAAUCCGGAAAAUCAAGGCUGAGGCGUGAUGACGAGGCACUACGGUGCUGAAGCAACAAAUGCCCUGCUUCCAGGAAAAGCCUCUAAGCAUCAGGUAACAUCAAAUCGUACCCCAAACCGACACAGGUGGUCAGGUAGAGAAUACCAAGGCGCUUGAGAGAACUCGGGUGAAGGAACUAGGCAAAAUGGUGCCGUAACUUCGGGAGAAGGCACGCUGAUAUGUAGGUGAAGCGACUUGCUCGUGGAGCUGAAAUCAGUCGAAGAUACCAGCUGGCUGCAACUGUUUAUUAAAAACACAGCACUGUGCAAACACGAAAGUGGACGUAUACGGUGUGACGCCUGCCCGGUGCCGGAAGGUUAAUUGAUGGGGUUAGCGGUAACGCGAAGCUCUUGAUCGAAGCCCCGGUAAACGGCGGCCGUAACUAUAACGGUCCUAAGGUAGCGAAAUUCCUUGUCGGGUAAGUUCCGACCUGCACGAAUGGCGUAAUGAUGGCCAGGCUGUCUCCACCCGAGACUCAGUGAAAUUGAACUCGCUGUGAAGAUGCAGUGUACCCGCGGCAAGACGGAAAGACCCCGUGAACCUUUACUAUAGCUUGACACUGAACAUUGAGCCUUGAUGUGUAGGAUAGGUGGGAGGCUUUGAAGUGUGGACGCCAGUCUGCAUGGAGCCGACCUUGAAAUACCACCCUUUAAUGUUUGAUGUUCUAACGUUGGCCCCUGAUCGGGGUUGCGGACAGUGUCUGGUGGGUAGUUUGACUGGGGCGGUCUCCUCCUAAAGAGUAACGGAGGAGCACGAAGGUUGGCUAAUCCUGGUCGGACAUCAGGAGGUUAGUGCAAUGGCAUAAGCCAGCUUGACUGCGAGCGUGACGGCGCGAGCAGGUGCGAAAGCAGGUCAUAGUGAUCCGGUGGUUCUGAAUGGAAGGGCCAUCGCUCAACGGAUAAAAGGUACUCCGGGGAUAACAGGCUGAUACCGCCCAAGAGUUCAUAUCGACGGCGGUGUUUGGCACCUCGAUGUCGGCUCAUCACAUCCUGGGGCUGAAGUAGGUCCCAAGGGUAUGGCUGUUCGCCAUUUAAAGUGGUACGCGAGCUGGGUUUAGAACGUCGUGAGACAGUUCGGUCCCUAUCUGCCGUGGGCGCUGGAGAACUGAGGGGGGCUGCUCCUAGUACGAGAGGACCGGAGUGGACGCAUCACUGGUGUUCGGGUUGUCAUGCCAAUGGCACUGCCCGGUAGCUAAAUGCGGAAGAGAUAAGUGCUGAAAGCAUCUAAGCACGAAACUUGCCCCGAGAUGAGUUCUCCCUGAGACUUUAAGUCUCCUGAAGGAACGUUGAAGACGACGACGUUGAUAGGCCGGGUGUGUAAGCGCAGCGAUGCGUUGAGCUAACCGGUACUAAUGAACCGUGAGGCGUAACCUUACAACGCCGAAGAUGGUUU